GAUAAACGCUGGCGGCGUGCAUGAGACAUGCAAGUCGAACGGACGAUCGAGGCUUGCUUCGAUCGUUAGUGGCGGACGGCUGAGUAACGCGUAGGUGACCUGCCCCGAAGUGGGGAAUAACUGCCCGAAAGGGUGGCUAAUACCGCAUGUGGUGGUGUGUUCAAUCACACCAGUAAAGCCGCAAGGCGCUUCGGGAGGGGCCUGCGUCCGAUUAGCUCGUUGGUGGGGUAACGGCUCACCAAGGCGACGAUCGGUAGGUGGUCUGAGAGGACGAUCACCCAGACUGGGACUGAGACACGGCCCAGACUCCUACGGGAGGCAGCAGUCGGGAAUUUUGGGCAAUGGGCGAAAGACCUGACCCAAGCAACGCCGCGUGAAGGAUGAAGUAUUUUCGGUAUGUAAACUUCGAAA
rnacentral:rRNA from 1 species